GCCUGGGUGGCUCGGUCGGUUGAGCAUCUGACUUUGGCUCAGGUCAUGAUCUCACAGCUCAUGGGUUCGAGCCCCACAUCAGGCU
rnacentral:tRNA from 1 species